rnacentral:snoRNA from 1 species
UAUGAUGAGAAUCUUUUGAUUAGCUCUAGAUCAAGAGCUGCAACCAUUUUGUAGCGAUGAGCGACAUAUUGCAUGUAUUACCUGAAUU